UGCCCUCUCAGUCUGCUCUUUUCUAGACUAAACAGACCCAGCUCCCUCAGUCUCUCCUCACAAGAGAGAUGCUCCAGACCUUGGAUCAUCCACAUUCUACAAUAACUCCUUCUCUUUCUUGAACUUUGGGGACUGGAAUUGAACACAAUACUCUGGAUGUGGUGUCACAAGGGCUGAGUAGAGGGGAAGAAUCACCUCCCUUGACCUGCUGGCCACACGCUUCCUGAUGCACCCCAGGAUACCAUUGGCCCUCCUAGGCACAAGGGCACAGUGCUGGCCAACUUGCCAUCCACUAAGACUCCCAGGUUCUUCUUUACAUAAAAUUGUUUACUUCCUUUUUGGUCUCCAUGAGAAGUACAAGAAAUACAAACACCUCUGUAAAGUAAUAGUUUGCAAGAGAACAGCUUGAAUUAGAAGGAUGGAUCCCAGGGAUCUAUUUUUCUUUAGAAGGCCUUUAAACUAUAAGGUGAAAGAAGAGGUGUGGCUUCAAACCAGCUGAGUUCAACAGUUUCAAAACACAACAGUGCUCUUAAUUCAAUUUUAACCUGGUUCAAGCCAGCAUAAUAUGUAUUAGCCAUGGCCAGGAUGAUUUAUAUAAAGUAUGAACUAAAGAGUGUCUACUCUGUUUGAAAAUACAGGUAGUGACUGCAUUUAUAGUCUGUUUUCAAGACUGAGAUUAAU